AUUGAACGCUGGCGGCAUGCCUUACACAUGCAAGUCGAACGGUAACGCGGGGGCAACCCUGGCGACGAGUGGCGAACGGGGGAGUAGCGCAUCGGAACGUGCCCAGGAGUGGGGGAUAGCUCGGCGAAAGCCGGAUUAAUACCGCAUACGACCCACGGGUGAAAGCGGGGGACCGCAAGGCCUUGCGCGAUUGGAGCGGCGGAUGUCAGAUUAGGUAGUUGGUGGGGUAAAGGCUCACCAAGCCGACGAUCUGUAGCUGGUCUGAGAGGACGACCAGCCACACUGGGACUGAGACACGGCCCAGACUCCUACGGGAGGCAGCAGUGGGGAAUUUUGGACAAUGGGCGCAAGCCUGAUCCAGCAAUGCCGCGUGCAGGAAGAAGGCCUUCGGGUUGUAAACUGCUUUUGUACGGAACGAAAAGGCUCUGGUUAAUACCUGGGGCUCAUGACGGUACCGUAAGAAUAAGCACCGGCUAACUACGUGCCAGCAGCCGCGGUAACAC
rnacentral:rRNA from 1 species